AUUGCCCUAGUAACGGCGAGUGAAGCGGCAACAGCUCAAAUUUGAAAUCUGGCGUCUUCGGCGUCCGAGUUGUAAUUUGCAGAGGGCGCUUUGGCAUUGGCAGCGGUCCAAGUUCCUUGGAACAGGACGUCACAGAGGGUGAGAAUCCCGUACGUGGUCGCUAGCCUCUACCGUGUAAAGCCCCUUCGACGAGUCGAGUUGUUUGGGAAUGCAGCUCUAAAUGGGAGGUAAAUUUCUUCUAAAGCUAAAUACUGGCCAGAGACCGAUAGCGCACAAGUAGAGUGAUCGAAAGAUGAAAAGCACUUUGGAAAGAGAGUUAAAAAGCACGUGAAAUUGUUGAAAGGGAAGCGCUUGCAGCCAGACUUGCCUGUAGUUGCUCAUCCGGGUUUCUACCCGGUGCACUCUUCUAUAGGCAGGCCAGCAUCAGUUUGGGCGGUUGGAUAAAGGUCUCUGUCAUGUACCUCCUCUCGGGGAGAACUUAUAGGGGAGACGACAUGCAACCAGCCUGGACUGAGGUCCGCGCAUCUGCUAGGAUGCUGGCGUAAUGGCUGUAAGCGGCCCGUCUUGAAACACGGACCAAGGAGUCUAACAUCUAUGCGAGUGUUUGGGUGUCAAGCCCGAGCGCGUAAUGAAAGUGAACGGAGGUGGGAACCUUUCGGGGUGCACCAUCGACCGAUCCUGAUGUCUUCGGAUGGAUUUGAGUAAGAGCAUAGCUGUUGGGACCCGAAAGAUGGUGAACUAUGCUUGAAUAGGGUGAAGCCAGAGGAAACUCUGGUGGAGGCUCGCAGCGGUUCUGACGUGCAAAUCGAUCGUCAAAUUUGGGCAUAGGGGCGAAAGACUAAUCGAACUAUCUAGUAGCUGGUUCCUGCCGAAGUUUCCCUCAGGAUAGCAGUAACGUUUUCAGUUUUAUGAGGUAAAGCGAAUGAUUAGAGGCCUGGGGGUUGAAACAACCUU
rnacentral:rRNA from 1 species